rnacentral:lncRNA from 1 species
ACAGUUGUGAUAUAGUUCUUAGCCCAUGAUUCAUACCCUUUCUAUUCAAAGUGCUUAGAGAUUUAUUUUUGAAAAUAUCAUAAAACCAUAGUGUCACUUACUCCUCAAUAGUAAGUUAAUUCCUACCACAGCCAUAUAUGUUCAUACCUUGUUCCAAACCCUACUAUAUAUUCUACUUGUACUUGUAUUGAGUUUAGUCAAACCUUGUGACCCUAGUUGAGAACUAUGUCAUGGUCCCAAGAUCAAGAUCACACACACACCACAUAUAUAUGUUGCUUCUACAUUGGAAGUACGCUAAAACAAGCCAUCCAUUUCCACCAUAUAUAUGCUCCAUGUUUUAAGGUUUAGAAUAUCUCUCUCUAAGUAUUGGUUAUAAGAUGAGACACAAAGGCUAUGCUUAGUAAAAAAAGUGGGCACAUGAUGGUCCAUUUCUUUUGAAAAAAAGAGAAAAGAAAAAAAGCUAGCCAUGUCUCAAAUAAAAUAGAGAGAGAGAUCUUAUCAAAUAUAGGAGGAUUCUAUUCUAAUCAUUUUUCACACACUUACACAUCUUGAUCUAGGAUUAUGACAUUCUUCUCCUUGGUUCCUUGUUUUGACUUUACAAUAGAUACAAUGCAAGUAUGCUAUCUUGUUUCUCCAUACCUGAGCCCCACAUA